rnacentral:lncRNA from 1 species
AGCUUCACAACAUGCUGCUUCGUAAAAAAAUAGAAUCUGAGGUACAACUUUAUGUUUUUUGUGAAGCUCUUUAGAAGGUGCUUCAGAAAAAUGUAGAAAUUGGAGUUGAAAGAAAAUUACCCACCACUAUCAUCAGUAAGUGGAUACCCCUUAUUUUUCCCCACUCAUCCAAUCUGAUAUAUCCUUUUCAUCAAAUUCUCAUUCUUAAAGCUGAAGCUAGAUAAAAGUCAAACAUUCUCUUAAAAGAAUCAGAACUUUUAUAAAAAACUGUUUCAAGGUGAAUUUAAUGGAGCGAAACUGAGCUUUAUGAAGUAGAGCAAUCCCAAAUAUGCCUUAACACCGCGGCAAGACUUAUAGAACGGAUGGAGUAUCUUUUAAGUAGUUGAUCGCAGGACCUCCAAGUUUUUCAUUUUUGAGGAAAACGGCUCCUUCACAAUACCUGCCCAAUAAAGAAGACAAAUUAGAGUGCAGAGUUUUGGACUCAGGCGGCGCAGUGAGCUCUUUAUUCAUGAAAAAAUAAAAGUUGUAUUGACACGUUCCAGAAAAUUCCAAGAUAAAUGUCAAUGUGCCACGUCGAAAUAUAUGAAAAUCCUUUAAAAUUUCUUGAAACAUUUUAUUAAUAAAUGGGUUGUACAAAAAAGACAAAUAUGGCGAUCAAUAAUACUACCAAAUAGUAGUGCUGAUCAAACAUUUUGUUUCUGUGUAGCUUUACAUAUAAAUGCAUGUCAAUGAAACUCUGCAACUUUGUAGUAUGAUUCCACAUAUAUAAAUGUUGGAUUCUGUUAAAGAAAAUACUAUACAAGAUAAGGGAUUUUUUAAGAACCGUGGUUUCUGGGCCUCCGUCUUAGAUGCUUUCCAUUUUGGAAUGGACUGUCUCAGGAUAGGUGCGAGUAGUGUCGUUUAGUAUGUUGUUUAGGAGCUUAGAUCAUCUUGAUGAUGCAAAUUUAAAGUUGUAAAACUUAAAAAUGUAAAAUUUACAUUAAAANNNNNNNNNNNNNNNNNNNNNNNNNNNNNNNNNNNNNNNNNNNNNNNNNNNNNNNNNNNNNNNNNNNNNNNNNNNNNNNNNNNNNNNNNNNNNNNNNNNNNNNNNNNNNNNNNNNNNNNNNNNNNNNNNNNNNNNNNNNNNNNNNNNNNNNNNNNNNNNNNNNNNNNNNNNNNNNNNNNNNNNNNNNNNNNNNNNNNNNNNNNNNNNNNNNNNNNNNNNNNNNNNNNNNNNNNNNNNNNNNNNNNNNNNNNNNNNNNNNNNNNNNNNNNCUUUUACAUCUUUUAAAAAGAGGCAACUCCAAAAGAUGAUGUAUAUUGAAGAUGUAAAAGUGCAACUCCAAUAGAUAAUGUAUUUGAAGAUGCAAACUAGUCGGCAUUAGCGUCGGCGGCCAAGCGCCAAAACUCGGGAGGGGCCCCAAUGGACCGAUUGGUUGCAGCAGGUGCGCCGAUGGCCGAGCGACGAGAGCCGGGAGGUCAAAUGCAGCGGCGGGAGCUCGAAUGGUCGGCGGCAUGGCUGUGAACGAUGGACGUAUUGGUCGCGGCGAGGCGGCGGCCAUGGGGUGCGAGAAUGUCGAGUCUAGCAGCGAAAAAGGGACAGCGGCAUGGCGGCAGGUGUGCGGCUCGAAUCCGGCUGCGGCACACGGUGGGGGGAGCUCAAAUCAUGCAACGACGCGAAGGUGAUUCAGCGGCAGAGAAAUUGCACAUUCGACUGAUUUGGAGGUUGGCGGCGAUGUAGCGUCAGAACAGGCGAUGGGGGCGAUGGAGCGGCCGGAUCUGGCAGCAGGGAGGUGAUGACAUGGUGUGGUGGGUGAGCGGCGCGACGGCGGGAGUGCGGCGGGGGAAGCUCAAAUCGGCGAUCCUCGACGGCUAUGGCAGUGCGACGGGCAACGGGGAUGGGCGGCGGGUCACGAAGGGGAUGGGGAUGGACGGGUGGUGGCGGCAACGUUUUCGGCCAGAAAUUCACCGGCGACGGGGCCGGGCGGACAGAAGCCAAAUGAAGGUGGUCGACAGUUGGCGCGCGACCGCUAGUUUUACAUCUCCAGUAGGUGAAGAUGUAUAUUUGCAUCUCGAGAUGUUGCAUUUUACAUCUUCAAAAUGUGGAGAUGUAAUUUUUUUCAUCUACAUCAUCUGUUGGAGGUGGGUUUUGGGGCCUCAUUGAUACAAAAAAUAAAAUCACGAGGACAACUAUGCCGAAGCUGGUGAGGUAGAGGCUAGGAAUGGUUACGGAGCGUGCGAGACGGACAACGUGGAGGGGGAAGAAGAGAGGAAAGAGCAAAUGGAUGUGAUAGUUCUGGUUAUAGAUUUGGUGAAAUUUGAGAUAGAGUCUGUUGGGUCUGACGUGACGGAUGUGCCCGGGCGCCCCAUAUCCAUCCCAUAUUUGGGCUGGAUACGAGGAGUGUCGGUUAGCCCGGGCGUUUGAGGUUCGUUUAAGACGCUCGGUUUGUCCAAAAUUUCAUGACCUGUUAGUGAUCGGCCUGCCUGUUUGGACGUACGAGGUGAAUUUGGGACGCUCGACUGUAGAUGCUCUUAGUCUGCAUCUUCACUAAGUGUACUAUUCCUCUACGUAUUCACAGAUAAAUGACCAUGUCCUGUAAAAUAAAAUACAUAUUUCAUUAUUACUAUUAAUCAGGCGACCCAUGGGCGUUGACCUUAUGCCCAUACCCUACCCAUGACUAAUUAAGUUACUCAUCAAGCUUAACCACGGGUCAAGAGUGACGAACCACGGAUAAAGAGUAACGACCGACCAUGGGCAUUGACCUUAUGCACAUACCCUACACGUUCGGGUCAGGUGUCCAUUGGCGCGGCCGGCCAUGGGUCGAAUUGCCGGGUUGACAUGCCGGACAACAUCAAUUAGUGGAGCCCCGUUCCAUUGUUCUAUUGAACUUUUCUCUUGAAUACAAUCAUUCAAAGUUUCAAAAUAUAGAGAUAAAUGGAAACCGAGAUCCCAAAGCAAUUGCCGGACAUGGACAAAUAAUCUGUUUCACUGAAUGGGAUAUUAUUGUUUCAAAGCGGGUAUCAUUUCUCAUUUUGCAAAGGGCCCAGAAUAAGGCUUGCAAGCCCUAGAGAUUUGAAUAUAACCAUUGCCAAGGCGAUGAACCCAUCUGAAAUACUUUAAACAACUACUUUCCCCAGUUUUCCAACUUGGACAUCCAUUCCAAAAUAACUAAAAUCACGACACUUAUUUUGAAACAUAGGGAGUAGAAGUCUAGAGCUUUACCAUAAUCUUGUCAGGAUAAGUUUCCAUGGUCCCAAAUUUCACAAUUGUCACUCUGAUUUAGACACAUCAUGUCUUCACUUUUGUUGAUUCUAUGUUGCCAUUCUGUAUGUACUUCAGAAUGUUCAGCCGCAGCAACAGGAUGGAUUACCAAUUGUUCUUCCGCACGAGAGGUGCUUUCAAGUCUCUUAGCUGGAAUGGGCAUAUCUCGCUCAUAUGCUUCUUCAAUGUUUUUAUGGGCAUUCUUCUUAUAUGGGGCACUGCUACAAUAAUAGUGAUAGUGACUUUGUCAGUAAUGGGACUACUUGUGAUUGGUUCAAUUCUAUGCCCAGAAGCUGCAAUUCCACCCAUGUUACGCGGCAUGAUCUCAUUAUGGAGCCCAAUGGUUGCAAUCCUACUGCUUUGUCCCAUUAUAUGGUACUCCUAUAAGUUGAAAGAAAGACAUGACUCACUUGCCAAGUGCAUAGUGUACUUGGUACUGUUUGUGACAGUGCUCCUAUUCACAAUCAGCAGGCUGAGGUUCCCAAGAAUCAUCAAAUUAGCAGACUGGGUUCUUGGCAAUAAAAUAGCAUUUUGGCAACGAAUUGUUCUGAACUUGUGCAUGUUUGCUGCGACAGUGAUGUCCGUGUUUAAUUAUAACGGAGUAGAUAUAUAUGCGCUCAUCAUAAAGGACAUACUUGUUCUAGUGAUAACUUCAUUUGGUAACCUCCAAAUUCCGGCAGCAGUAUUCCGAAUUGGGCUGGCACUGUGGCGCCUUAUAGUUAUACAAACAGAUUAUAAUGAUCAGAAAAACCAUGAGAACACGGAAAACCUUCUGUCAUCUCUCUACAUCUUUUAUGCGAUGGUGCUUGGCCAAGGGAUAAUCUAUAUUGUUGCCGGCAUCUUUGAAAUCUUUUCAUUCAUCCUACGAAGAUCACUCAUCUGUCAUGCUGGAUUUGGAGGACCCUCGGGAGUGAAAUAUGUCAAUUUGUACUACGCAUAUGCCUUCGACAGAUGCAUGGAAGGUGCUGUGCUUGGCCCAAAGAAGACCAGCCUUAUCAUAUUUGCAAUGGAUUCUUUAAAGUCAAACUCUCCCAAGAUGCAACUAUAUGGUCUUAAGAUGCUUCACAGCUUUCUAAAAAAGGAGCCCCUAAGGACUAUGGCCAUAUUAGAACUCACCACUUAUACAAAGACAGUGACCUUCUUGAUCAACAUGUUGGACUGGACAAGUGAGGGGGCUAAAGAUAUUCGAUCAUUCGCCGCGAAGAUCAUGGCCGAGCUCGCUGAAAACCUCCGAGUUGUCCCUAUUCCUGGGGCAAUGCAGCUCAUAGCCUCACUUUUGGACACUGUUCAAGGACAUAAUAUAAAGAACCCUCUUUUGGACACUGGUAGUCUUGAGACAAAACAUAAUAACCUGAUUCAGCAAGUUGGCAGGAACGAACUGCCCUCCCCAAUGCUUAAAUGGUUGAAACAGAUGGCACUAUACUGUUUGAUUCCGAGAGAGGAGCCAACUAACAUGGAUGAACAAAACACCCACAUACUCAGAUGCUGGAGAAAGAUUACAAAACACUGGUCUGUUCCAGAGAAGGAGCCAUCAACCGACCAUGAUCUCCUCCCUGUACAGGGCAUGUUGAUUCUUGAAAGGCUUGCUACCUUUGAUCUAGAGAACUGUAUAGAAAUCAGCAGAGCAACUGGCCUCAUCUCAAAGAUUGUAGAGUUCACAAGCAACAGGACUGACAUGAAAAAUAUUGACGAGACACACGAGACACUGCUGAAACGUUCAUCACUGAGGCUGCUGGCAAGACUUGCAAGUACUAACGGCAAAUUUGGUGUAACUUUGCGUCAGAAGAUUACAGAACAUCUCUUCCUUUGGAGCAACCUUGCAGAGAUCUUGGAUAACAGAGGGAGCAGCCAAGAACUUAGGGAGCUUACAGCAGAACUCGUUAGAAACUUGGCCAUGGAUGGAAAUGUAAAUAACGAGAUCAGGCACAUCCCAAUGAUCAUUAGCAGGUUGAUGCAUGCAUUUCUCAGCAAGGACACAUCCGCAAGUGCAGAUUCAGAUCAGUUACUACGAAUGAACGCUGGGCAAGCACUAGCACUACUGGCAAAGGAUAGCGUCAAUAACUGUCUGGUUAUGUUAGCGGAACCAGGGUACGUCUUCAUCAAGGAACUCACAAUUAUGAUCCAUAGUGGCAGGUACAGGUACAUAGCUUCAAGCCUGUUGCAGAGUAUGUGUGUGCAUGCUCAAUCUGAGCUUGGCAACUUGGACCUAAAGGAAAUCUCCUACAUUACGAGAGAGGUGAGCGCUGCAAAUUUUGGUUAUAUGUGCAAUAUUAGAGGUGGAUAUUGUACCUUAAUAUUUACACAUGGUAUUGCAACAUUUUCUUUAGCAUUCAUUUAAGCUACCACUCUAGUAAAUAGAUGGCAACAUCAUCAAUUACCACUGAUAUAUUUCUAUACACCACACAACUAAAUAAAUACAUGGCAACGUCAUGGAUUCUACUUAACCAUGUUAGUGAAGUUUAAUCAUGGUUUACAGAGCUUAGCUAUUUCCACUACAGGUGUUGGAAGGAAUAAUGGAUGCAGAAGGUACAGAAUUGGAGGUUCUUGCUGGCCUUAGUUCACAAAUAUGUAAUGUCAUUCCAGAUGAUUUUGCACGGGAACUAGAGCAUGGUCAGAUUAAGGAAAGAUUUAUCAAGAGGCUUGUUAAUGCACUUAACUCAAAUAUGAUACCCACCUGUCAUUCUCCCGGAAUCAGGAGGGUGAUAGUUGAACAUGUCAUAUACAUGAUGGAGUGUAAUCCUGGCAACGCCAACUGUUUCAACAAAUACUGGAUGCUGGAAGCACUCCUAGUGGUGGAGCGUACAACCUCAAGAGCUGAAAAUUACAGGUUCUUCUCCGGUGAUGCGGGACUCAUGGAGCACAGCGUACCUCUAUCUGCACUUGUGGCUAGAGCAAAAGAACUGAUGGUCCGUGGGUAGCUAUGAGGCAUCAGCAGUGUCACCUGAGCAUGUAUUUAGAUGGUGCUGUACUGCUGGUCUAUACUACGACUCGUAGACAGGCUCAAUUUGCUCUGUCAUAGUAGUGACUUACUCAUUGCAAUCCAAGGAGAUCCCAUGAAUGUAGAGCUGAUAUCAAACAGUUGGUUUGUGAUGAAAAAUCAGACAUUAUGUGCCAUAAUGAGGUCAACUAAAAUAAUGGCUGUGUUACUGUUGUAAGACCAUGGAUGUAUGAAAGAUGAGGCAUCUGCUUUGCCAUUCAAUAUGAACUGUCAUGUUAGUUGCACAUUGUCAGGGUGUGAGGCUUCAACACCAGCUUAGCAUUUUAAAUCAUACUAUAAGGCUUACAUCGGGUGUUGUUUAGCACUAGUAAAUGGCCUAGUCAUUGAGUACUCAUGGAAUCAACCACUUCAGACCAGAUCCUAAACACUCACUAAGUUUGUCCUACUAAUUUCCCAAGUAGAUGGCACUGACCCUGACAAAGAACGAUGCAAUUUGAUCAUGGAUGGAGGGGGGCCUUAGCACAAUCCAUUUCAAAUAGGAACCCACUUAAUAGUACUCCCUCCAUAAGGAAAUAUAAGAGUGUUUAGAUCACUACUAGCAUCCAUGGUAAAUAUUUUGGUUUUCUCGAACACCACAAAUUUUGAAAUCUCUGCUUCCCUGAUCACAAUUGGCCAGUAAUUGAACACUACAAAGUACUCCCUCAGUAAACUAAUAUAAAAACAUUUAGAUUGCUAAAAUAGUGUUUUAAAUGCUUUUAUAUUAGUUUAUGAAGGGAGUAGUAUCUACCUACAAUGCACUUCCAGGAUUGUCUGAGCCCGGUGCUCUGGCAGCCCUCGGCCUCAGGCCGGAGAUAAAAGGGAUUAAUCGGAGAUUCAGAGGCGAGAAGGCGAGAGUGCACCUGUCAGAUCAGAAAGGGUUCAAAGCUGGGAUGCGACUUCCACACGACCCAGCGAUUCGUAUCGCUGCCAGAGAGGCUGGUGGCCCGCCGCGUCCGGCUCAUCGGCGCCGCCGUCGCUCCGCCGCUACAAAAAAAUCUGCGAGAAUGAAGCAACCUAGAGCCGUGCGCGUUAGCAAACCCUAUUUUAGCGGCACAGGCGCCGGUUUUAGUUUUUUUAAAAACCGAGCCCUG